CAUGUAGAGUGUUAAACUUCGCCUUAAUUUGAUUGCAGUUGCAGUGUUUGGUUUCUAUGCUGGAUGCCUCAUCAAGUCUUUUCCUUCCUUUCUUAAUCAAACGAUUCGUCAGAUUUCGCACUAAAUUUCAUCUGCAGGCAGCCAGGCAGAAAUAUUCAGGACAAGCGCGAUUUGCAGUGACAAUAUCACGACUUAAAUACUUGAAUUCUCGUCACAAGUGUGUGGUGAUUCACGACCCAUAAUGGAUUUUGAUGACCCUGAUCUGUAUUCUGAGGAUCUCAAUGUGAAAUCUUGAUUUUUGAUCCUACGACAUAUGGAAGUUUGUUGCAGACCCAAAACCAGACAUGGAUAGAAAAUAGUUCAUACAGACUGUUAGUAGGUUUUUGUUUCUUACUAAAAUGAUUCACAGUUAUAGGACCCUAUAAGAUAAGCAUGUACAUUGCAUUUGUCUGUCUUUCAUAGAAAUUAUCAUUAGUGGAAGUAGAAUCUCCAUCCCUCUUUUGCAAUGUCCUGAUUUAAUUCUGAUUUAGUAUGCUUCCAGUUAACUAGUGUCACUGCACGAUGAACUGCACCAAUUAUCUUAUACAACCUUAAAAUCAUUUGCAUAGUAAAGGGUGUGAGCUCUUGGAAAUAUACACUAAUAUUGAUGAUGUUGAAUUGGAAAAAGAGAUUGUUAGGAAAGAGAUUAUAACUGAUCUCGGGUGGAAUGUUUGCAACCUGUCAAAGCAGUAUAGAGUACUUGGUUUCAAAAGAAAAAGAAAUCAUGGGGAUGAAGAAGAAUCUCAUGAGACAAGGGAUGGGCAGCAGCAGUUGGUGGCUUCUAGGUCCAGAAAAAGAAAAAAAGAGUCUCAUGAGACAGGAUGAGAAGCAGCAGGUGAUGGCUUCUAGGUCCAGAAAAGGAAAACAGGAGGUUGAUGGGAUAUAUAAUGUUCACAUAUAUGGUUACUGUUGUAAGAGGAGAGAGGAAGGGGGAUAUGGAAUUAUAUUACAUGUCAAGUUCAGAAAACCUGGAGUUGCUUACUAAGGGUAUUCCAAACGAAAAUCAUGUCUUUAUUACCUUCUGGAGGGAAUGAAGAGAGGCUUAGAGGUCGCUACUGAACGGGGACUUGCCAUGAAGAGAGGCUUAGAGGUCGCUACUGAACGGGGACUUGCCAAAGUUUAUUGGUCCGUCAAAUCACGAAGUUACGAACUUCUUUAACUUCCUUUUCAGUUCUCCCCUCAUGCUAAGUAGCGUCUGUCAUGAUACUGUUGCUCGCAAGAGGUGUUUGAGAAAUCAAAUGUGUUUGAGUAAAGCAAGUUUCAAGCAACUUUCUCCAGUUAUUGAAGCUAUCAUAAAUCUGCAAUAUGAAAUCAAGUUCAAGUAUAAAUCGUACAGCUGUAAUAAAAAACCCAAUGCUGCUGCAUAUUAUUUGGCAGAAUGUGGAGCAAAAAAGUUUAAGAAGAUGAAACUGGGUGUAAGUUCUUAUGAGGUGCAAGAAGUUAAGAUGGAAGCCAGACACUUUCCUGAGAGGCUGAAUGAAAUUGUUUUUAUACAUAUACUGUGGGAGUGUGAUAAGAAACCCUAAUUCACUCCGGAUUUCUAAUCAGAAUUAGGUUUAGUAGAGAGUCCUGAAGAGGUUUUUUUCUGCUUUUCCUCAAUCAAGUCUCUUUAGGAUUGUCAGGAAUCUGGUUUACAAUCUGUUUUGGAUUUUCCCACUCUUUUUGGCAUAUGUUAUUGCUUGUUGGUAUUGGUAUGUUCUCUCUUUUGGAACUUUUUUUCAGAGGGCGCUUGCUUGGGGCAUGCAGUAUGCUUACAGCAAAUUCACUGACCAGCAAGAGAUGCGCAGGAAAUAACAGUUGGUCCGGUCGCAUUGGUUUCUCUGCUGGUGUCUAAUGUAGUGGGGGAAUUGCUGAUUCAACGGAUUUAUUAUAUGCGGAACGUGUGAUCUUGUUGGUAAUUAUGGUUGGAAAUUUGCAAGGUGUAAAUGGCCCAUGGAAACCUUGAGGGCUUGGAUGGAUUGUAGGCUUCAUUAGUCACUUUGUACUUCCAUGACCGGCAAGCAGGAAUCUGCCUUACUCUUCUCGGGCAUGCCACCAGAAUUUGCUCUAUGUGGAAAAGAUUCCUGGAUUAUGGACAGAGUUUUGAAUUUCAUGGAAAUUCUUAUUGCAGCAUAAAGAUUUGAAAGUGGCUGAUUUUCCGCAUAAUGGUGCUUGUUUCAAAUCAUACAAAAACUUGUUCAGUUUACGAACUUUGUCUUCACAA